GCUGAAAGUACUUUGUGGUCCAUUUUUAAAAUCCCGGCAAGUGUUACUAACUCCUUUUAAUACAGUGAACCUGCCAACACACAGUGAGUCUUGGAAGAGAUUCAUCUUCCUGCUUCCCCUGGAAUUGUCAGAUCUCUGCAGUUGCUGGCAUAGGGCUGGGAUGUCCUCCCACCUCUCACCUGCUCUGUGACACCCUACUCUCCCCAGCCUGGACUAGUAACAAUGUUCUGAUAGUAUUGUCACAAAGGGAGAGGGACCACAAGCCCUUUCCCCUAGAGUGGAAGCCAGAAGAGGGCUUUUUCAUCUCAAAAGCUGAAGAUGAAAGGGGAGCCCAGCAUGCUGAGCCACCUUCGGCCUCUGUCAUCCUGGUUUUAAGACAUGGGACCUGCGGGACAGAAGCAUCAUGCACAAAGACUGUGUCCCUGGUGCUUGAAGAUCAGAGAUACUUAGAAGCGUGACAUUUCGGAACUUGCAGAAGCACUCUUGGAAGACAGAUGACGGGGGGAUCGAACUCAGGACCUUGAGCUUGCGAGGCAGGCUGUGGUGCCACUGAGCCACAUCCCCGACCCCUACACGUACUUCUGAUGCCAAGCUUUGACCUUCCCAGGCUCCAGGUGACCCCUACCCCACACCCUCUUUCUACAUCUACAGGGUGGCAAGUGCCCAUCUGCCUAGGUAUGCAAACACACAGCUCCAGACUGCAAGCAAAUAAGCAAUUCCUAUUGAUAAAUUCAAUGAACUAAGAAGCUCUGGGAUGGAGCAGAAAUGCUAUCAGAAGAACAGAUACCUUUCAUGGUAACCACUGUCACACACAGCUUUAAGAAACUUUACAUCUUCAAAUGGAAAUUCAGAGAGGACUCCGGGCGAUCACUGCCUAAUGCUUGGGAAUGUUUAUUCUUCUUGCACCCCUUUCCUGUGAGGAUUAAACCCGUUCUGGGAUCCCUGCAGGGCCACCUGCUGUCCCCAAGAGCAACAUUUCACCCAAAACACAACCAGCCUAUUUUCUGCCAAAACCUAUCCUUCCAGCAGGGAGGGGAAAAUUCGCAGGCUCUUUUUCUUAAAGCACGGAGCUUUGAGGAGUCUCCUUUAAGUUUGCCGAACUUUUCUGAGAGCCUCAGAUGCAUACAUGAUAUCAGUCCUCCCCGCUCCCAAUCCCCGUCUGCAUUCUGCAUUUCUCUCCCAGAUCUUUCAAAGAGCAAGGAAAAGAUCCUUACCUUUCUCCGCCAGAAUGAGACUGAGACCACUGCCAGCCCAGCAAGCCAGAGGGAGACGCAACCGGCACUAGGGACCGUAAACAAAGUACUCAGCCAGGCUUAAAUACAAUUAAGGGACCGGAGACAAUUUGGUGAAAGGAAAUCCUUUAAAUGCGGCUGUAUUUUCCUUUAUGAGAAUGUAAUGUAUAUUUUUUAAGAAGAGCACAAAUUUAGAAAAGAAACACCUCUCUUUCUUUGUCUCUUUUAUACCCUUAUUCAGGCAUUCAUUUCCCAAGUUUUCCCUACCUAAAGCUCCCAUGAUGAUACUGAGCAUCUGUAAUCAUGUGGCCCUACAGUAAAUAAUUCCUUUGUAAGAUUUUUUCUAUGCUCCUGGGGGUGUGGGAUUUGGGAAGGGUUUGAGGGUGAGAGGGGCUGUAACACGGUCACAUGCAGGUAGUAAGAGGAGAAGGAGGAGGGGCCGGGGAUUUAGCUCAGUGGUUUUGCUGCCUGCUGCGCAAGCGCAAGGACCCUAGUUCGAUCCCCGGUACCAAAAAAAAAAAGGAGUAAGAGGAAGAUAAGGGUUCUUGGUAAAAAUGCUGUUUGGCACCUAUGUGGACCUUCUGUCUAAAACCAGCUUUUCAUCAGAGAAUGCAAGGAAAUGAUGGUGUCUUGGAAAAUCACGUCUCUCGGGGACUAAGGCUACCAAAGUCAUCACAGACCAGAGCUGGGAACUUAAUGGUGCAGAAGAAACUCUCCCAGAUUAAGUAAAAAAAAACAUUUUUCUUAGAAAUAAGACAAAGUGAUUUGCUGGGGGAGGGUGGGCAUGGAACUGAAAGAAGGCAGGGAGGAUGGUGAAUUCCAGGAC
ensembl:lncRNA